AGUAAAUUGAAUUAAUAAUAAAUAGUGACAUCUCUAAUAUCUUCUUCGUCAACAAAACAAUCUCUUUAAUUGAAAUAAUUUCCGUUUUAUCUUUUGAUUUGGUGACAGCAGUUUAAAGACCUAUGCUACACGUUAUAUAUUUUUUUCCAACAAUAUCUUACGAACGAGUUAAAUUAUAUGAUUUUUCUAAGUAAAAAGAGAGAGCCGACCAAAAAAAAAAAAAUCAAACGGUAAAUGACAAAGUAACUACGGUUAAAAUAAAUAACCAACGCUCGAUAAUCCCGGAUAAUAGAAAAAAAAAAACAGAGACAGCUAGAAAAAAAACAGAGCUCCUUCGCGACGAGAAGUCGCCGCCGGAAUCGAGAGGCCAAGGCCGUAGUUUGAGAGUUUAAAGGAAAAUUACUCCCGACGUUGAUUAGUCUCCGGAGGAUACUUUGUGAUAUUUUGUUGAUUCAUAGGUAGACUGUGAAGACUUGCAAAAGAUAGCCUUUUGACUUCUUUGUUCACUGUUACACGAUGAAUGACGCUCUUGUAUAUGCCGUUGCUCAUCACCUCUACCUGAUCUCCCAGCUGAACUAUCAAAGCUCCUUCUAUAUACGGCACACAAACCCAGUUUUUGUUGCAGUCCAUUAUCUGGAGUCCCUUGCUACUCUGAAGUAAGAUGGUCAGUGAGCUGAAGUCUGAGUGUGGUGGCAUUCCCAAGGCCAUUUCAGGUUCCGGGCAUGCUGGAUAACAAUUCACUGCCAUGACUUCAAAUGUGUUGCCUCUGCAUACUUGCCCACUUUAUCCCUGAAAGCAUGGAGGAUUUGAUGGCCACAUAUCGAUCCACUUUGAGAGUGGAUGAGAGUAAUGCUUGAUGAAAUCUCUCCAGUAGUGAACUCUGUCUGUUGAAUGGUUAAGGCUUGUGCCAUACCUGACUGGCUCAUGAACGUUUGCAGACACCAGAAGCAUCUUCUCUUCCACAGGCCAUGCUAAUCUCGUGGAUUGCGAGGGAUCGAAGGAAAGGUUGGUGCAAAAGAGAGAGAUCAAUGACAGGAAGUGUAGUCUCGCUGGUGCCUAAGCUUGAACCAAGAGCUGGCCUUUGCGAAGGAGGAAGAACGUAGCGAUCAGGGACUUGAGGCACACCUGAAUUGGGGCAAAACUGUCUUUUCAUCAGAUCAGACUGGAUGAAUAUCGGUCGAGAUUCAUGGACCAGCACUGAAUAAGGAUGCUGUAUCAUUUAGUUUAUAUAUGUCAUAUGAAUAAAUAAGUAAUUUUUAAUCCUUGUUGAGAAUUGGAAAAAUAACAUGCAUGUUAAAAUGCAUCUGUACUACAACAAGGUCUAUGAGUUGGUUUUUCCUCUUGUCGAAGGUUACAGAGUUCCUCUACCGUUGGAGGAGAGAGUAACUAGUGUGACAUCAUUCUUUCGUAAGAGAUUGUGGAGACUAGAGACCGAGAGUAGUACAGAGAAUUUUUUUUAAUUGUUCCAUAUUUGAAUUAGAACUCUAUCAAGUGUUUCUUUUUGUGUCUAAUCUCAAUAUUAAGCAGUGUCACUUCCAUGUCGGCUGCUGGAUAAAUCCAGCUUUUUCCGUUUGGGUCGAAAACUAAUGGGCCAAAUUUUAUUGUAACGGGCUUGGAAGUUGGG
rnacentral:lncRNA from 1 species